CAACCCUGAACGAGCAACGCCGCGUGCAGGAAGAAGGUUUUUGGAUCGUAAACUGCUUUUCUCGGAGAAGAGAAUGGACGGUACCCGAGGAAGAAGCCCCGGCUAACUACGUGCCAGCAGCCGCGGUAAUACGUAGGGGGCAAGCGUUGUCCGGAUUUAUUGGGCGUAAAGAGCACGCAGGCGGUCUUCUGCGUUCUGAGUGACAGGUGGUGGCUUAACUGCCACAGUGCUUGGAAAACGGGAAGACUUGAGAACUUCAGAGGGAUGCGGAAUUCCAGGUGGAGCGGUGAAAUGCGUAGAGAUCUGGAAGAACACCAAAGGCGAAGGCAGCAUCCUGGGAAGAAUCUGACGCUGAGGUGCGAAAGCCAGGGGAGCGAACGGGAUUAGAUACCCCGGUAGUCCUGGCCGUAAACGAUGACCACCAGACGUAGGAGGUAUCGACCCCUUCUGUGUCGUCGCUAACGCAUUGAGUGGUCCGCCUGGGGAGUACGGUCGCAAGAUUAAAACUCAAAGGAAUUGACG
rnacentral:rRNA from 1 species